rnacentral:rRNA from 1 species
GAGGAAUAUUGGUCAAUGGGCGCUAGCCUGAACCAGCCAAGUAGCGUGAAGGAUGAAGGCUCUAUGGGUCGUAAACUUCUUUUAUAUAAGAGUAAAGUGCAGUAUGUAUACUGUUUUGUAUGUAUUAUAUGAAUAAGGAUCGGCUAACUCC